rnacentral:rRNA from 1 species
AAACUAACAAGGAUUUCCCUAGUAGUGGCGAACGACCGGGAAUUAGCCCAGCACGAAUCCUGUACUUUGGUAUUAGGAAUUGUGGUGUAAAGGUUGUGUCUUUAAUUGCUGACGGUGCUCCAAAUUCACUUGAUUGUGAUGUUGUCCAGAGAGGGUGUUAGACCCGUUGGAGUACACAAAGUUGUUAUUGAUGCUUCCUAUGAGUCGGAUUGUUUGAGAAUGCAGUCCAAAUUUGGUGGUAAACUCCAUCUAAGGCUAAAUACUUGUGUGAGUCCGAUAGCAAACAAGUACCGUGAGGGAAAGUUGAAAAGAACUCUGAAGAGAGAGUUAAAUAGUACGUGAAAUCGCUUAGAGGUAAACGAGUGGAGCCGAAAGAGUUGUUUAGAAUUCAGUUGAUUGCUCUUUGUUCGUAGAAUAAUAACAUUUUUAUGGGAGUUGUUAUUUUACCUUUUAUACAGAUUGUAAUUGAUGCAUUUUCUAUUCAACUAUACUGCGACCAAUAGUGUUGAUUUACUGUCGUAAUUGUGAAGGUGAUCAAUUUUUCGAAAUUGGUUUUAUAGCUAAUUACAUGAUUAAUCAAUGUAUUGUUAAUUGCGAUUGACUAAUUUUAAUAAACUUUGAUAUGAAAUGUUUAUUUUUAGACUAUAAAUAGACUAUUUUUAAAUAUUUUAUGUCUUUGGUUGUUAAAGGGUUAAUCUAAAGUCCGCAGUCAAUAUGUAGGUUACCUACUUGUCCCGUCUUGAAACACGGACCAAGGAGUUUUAUAUGAUCGCGAGUCAAAGGGCCUUACGAAACCCCAGGGCGUAAUUAAUGUAAAGAUUCACUUUAGUGAAUUACAAUGUGACCUUGCGAUAAAAAGCUUGUGCAACAUUGACCCGUCUAAAGAUGUUCGCAUCUGGGCGGAGUUUGAGCGAUCAUGUAGAGACCCGAAAGAUGGUGAACUAUGCUUGUGCAGGUUGAAGUCAGAGGAAACCCUGAUGGAAGACCGCCGCGGUUCUGACGUGCAAAUCGAUCGUCGGACAUGAGUAUAGGGGCGAAAGACUAAUCGAACCAUCUAGUAGCUGGUUCCCUCCGAAGUUUCCCUCAGGAUAGCUGGCAUUUGUUGUCGUAGUUUUACCUGGUAAAGCGAAUGAUUAGAAGUAUUGGGGACGAAAUGUCUUCAACUUAUUCUCAAACUUUAAAUGGGUUCGAAGUGCAUCUCUCUUUAUUUGGAGAUGUACAUGGAAUACGAAUGCCUAGUGGGCCAUUUUUGGUAAGCAGAACUGGCGAUGUGGGAUGAACCAAACAUUUGGUUAAGGUGCCUAACAUCACGCUCAUGAGAACCCACAAAAGGUGUUGGUUGAUAAAGACAGCAGGACGGUGGACAUGGAAGUUGUCAUCCGCUAAGGAGUGUGUAACAACUCACCUGCCGAAUCAACCAGCCCUGAAAAUGGAUGGCGCUGUAGCGUGAGACCUAUACCAAAUCGAUAUCGUAUGCUCCUUCCUUUAUGGCAGGAGUAAGUAAGCGGGUAUCGUGUAGGAGGGUGCCGUGGUUGCUAAGAAGCUACCAUCCUGAGAUGGAGUGGAGCGGUCACGGGGUACAGAUCUUGGGUAGUAGUAGCAAUUAUUCAAGUGGAGAGCCUGAAU